UGGGGUAUAGCCAAGUGGUAAGGCAAUGGAUUUUGAUUCCAUCAUCCGCAGGUUCGAAUCCGGCUACUCCAG
rnacentral:tRNA from 1 species